GACGAACGCUGGCGGCGUGCUUAACACAUGCAAGUCGAACGGAAAGGCCCUGCUUUUGUGGGGUGCUCGAGUGGCGAACGGGUGAGUAACACGUGAGUAACCUGCCCUUGACUUUGGGAUAACUUCAGGAAACUGGGGCUAAUACCGGAUAGGAGCUCCUGCUGCAUGGUGGGGGUUGGAAAGUUUCGGCGGUUGGGGAUGGACUCGCGGCUUAUGUGCUUGUUGGUGGGGUAGUGGCUUACCAAGGCUUUGACGGGUAGCCGGCCGGAGAGGGUGAUCGGCCACGGUGGAACGGAGACACGGGCCAGAGUCCUACGGGAGGCCGCAGGGGGGAAUAUUGGGCAAUGGGCGCAAGCAGGAUCCAGCCAUGCCGCGUGGGAGAAGAAGGCGUUCGGGUUGUAAAGCCGUUUUGGUGGGAAAGAAAAGCAGCAGGUUAAUACCACGCUGUUCUGACGGUACCCAAAGAAUAAGCACCGGCUAACUUCGUG
rnacentral:rRNA from 1 species